GCAUGGAUUUGGAUUUGUGGCAGGUCUGAUCCAUGGGCCUCUCACAGUGUCCCCCGUGAAAGCUAACUGUGACCCCGAACCAUUGCCUGGCUUUACCCUAUGGGCUUCAGGCACUGAAGCGGGUUAGAGAGUG
ensembl:snoRNA